UAGGGAAUCUCCGGCAAUGGGGGGAACCCUGACCGAGCAACGCCGCGUGAGUGAAGAAGGUUUUCGGAUCGUAAAGCUCUGUUGUUAAGGAAGAACGAGUGUGAGAAUGGAAAGUUCAUACUGUGACGGUACUUAACCAGAAAGGGACGGCUAACUACGUGCCAGCAGCCGCGGUAAUACGUAGGUCCCGAGCGUUGUCCGGAUUUAUUGGGCGUAAAGCGAGCGCAGGCGGUUAGAUAAGUCUGAAGUUAAAGGCAGUGGCUCAACCAUUGUAGGCUUUGGAAACUGGUUAACUUGAGUGCAGAAGGGGAGAGUGGAAUUCCAUGUGUAGCGGUGAAAUGCGUAGAUAUAUGGAGGAACACCGGUGGCGAAAGCGGUUCUCUGGUCUGUAACUGACGCUGAGGCUCGAAAGCGUGGGGAGCGAACAGG
rnacentral:rRNA from 1 species